AGGAAAAAAUAUGUACUAAUAUUGCUCAAAACAGAAGGCUUCUAUGUUGGCAUAACUUAUGUUCAGAAUGCUGUUGCAAAAGGAGCAGUUUGUUUGGAUGGGUCUCCCCCGGCUUACCAUCUUGAUAAGGGGUUUGGAGCAGGAAUUAACAAUUGGUUGGU